UAUUAUGUUUAGUAAUGGGCUUUGA
rnacentral:misc_RNA from 1 species